CAGUGUUACAGCUCUUUUAUAAUUUGUCUAGUAGAUUUUCCAGUUUUCACUGGAAAACCCUG
rnacentral:snRNA from 1 species